rnacentral:rRNA from 1 species
AGGGUUCGAUCCUGGCUCAGGACGAACGCUGGCGGUGCGCCUUAUGCAUGCAAGUCGAGCGAAGCUUUUCAGUAGUUUACUACAGAAAAUGACUGAGCGGCGAACGGGUGAGUAACGCGUGAGCAAUCUACCUUAGUUACAGGGAUAGCCCGAGGAAACUCGGAUUAAUACCUGAUAUUCUUUAUUUCUCGCAUGAGAAUAAAAGGAAAGGUCAGCCGAACUAAGAUGAGCUCGCGUUCUAUCAGCUAGUUGGUGAGGUAAAAGCUUACCAAGGCUACGACGGAUAGCUGGUCUGAGAGGACGAUCAGCCACACUGGGACUGAGACACGGCCCAGACUCCUACGGGAGGCUGCAGCAGGGAAUAUUGUGCAAUGAACGAAAGUUUGACACAGCGACACCGCGUGUGGGAUGACGGAUCUAGGUUUGUAAACCACUUUCAGGAGGGAAGAAAAUGACGGUACCUCCACAAGAAGCCCCGGCCAACUACGUGCCAGCCGCCGCGGUAAUUC